CCAGCUGCUGGAAGAUGGAUUCGGCGAUGUUGUUGUUACCGCGCCAGUCCGUGGCCCGUUCGGCGUGGGUGAACUGGUCCA
rnacentral:tRNA from 1 species